UCUAUUUACGCAUUUUGUGUGAACGUUUUAUGCAAAACAGCCGCACGAUUCAACAAUGCUAAAAAUUUUGUGUCUUUUUUUUUAUUUUCGCUGAUAUUUCAGAUGCAAGUCAGCGCAACUCGACUUUCUAUGUGAUUAAAGUUUCUUGUGACGAAAAAAAUCCGUAUGUAAAAGUAAAAGAAAAUGAAGGAAAAACUGACAUAAUCUGGAAUACUGAAGUGGAUCAGACCUCAUCACCUUUAAGGGCCACCCUGUCUAUUCAUUUCCUCGAAUCUGAGCAAACUUAUUCCACGCAAUUAGAAAACUUAUGUAAAGUUUAUAAAGAGGGAAGCUUUGAGGAAAAUGCUCAGAAAUUUAUACUGAAAGCGCUUGCAAAUAUUAAAAAGUGUCCCAUUCAAAAGGGGACAACAUCUUCUAUUCCCAAAUCAUUUUCCCUGUUGUAUUCUACUGACCAUCCAGAUUGCGGAAUUAUUCAGAAUCAGUUCAAACUAUUUAAGCAAGAGGACUCAAAUUAUUCACAACCCCUCAUUACUGGAAUUUCAAAAGGGACUGUUACAGGUUGCUGAAUAAAUCAAAUUCUAAUAUUUUUCAGAAUUAUGAAUAUAGAAAUAUUCUUUGUACUAAUGGAUUAUAAAAAUGUAAAAAUGUUUGAAUAAUAAAGACA